rnacentral:rRNA from 1 species
AUUGAACGCUGGCGGCAGGCCUAACACAUGCAAGUCGAACGAGUGGCGGACGGGUGAGUAAUGUCUGGGAACCUGCCUGAUGGAGGGGGAUAACUACUGGAAACGGUAGCUAAUACCGCAUACCAUCGGAUGUGCCCAGCUGGGAUUAGCUAGUAGGUGGGGUAAAGGCUCCCCUAGGCGACGUUCCCUAGCUGGUCUGAGAGGAUGACCAGCCACGCUGGAACUGAGACACGGUCCAGACUCCUACGGAAGGCAGCAGUGGGGAAUAUUGCACGAUGGGCGCAAGCCUGAUGCAGCCAUGCCGCGUGUAUGAAGAAGGCCUUCGGGUUGUAAAGUACUUUCAGCGGGGAGGCGUUACUCGCAGAAGAAGCACCGGCUAACUCCGUGCCAGCAGCCGCGGUAAUUC